UUACAGUGGUUUCCUAUUCUAAUAACAUCCAAACUCCUUAAUAUGGCACAUAGCACCCUUCGUAAUCUAUUUUUGGCCUAAAAUGGUAGCUCAUUUUUCUGGGUUUCAUUUUCUCCGUCUCUACGGACUCCUUCCACAUGGAAUUUGUAAUUAUUGGAAGAAUUUAUGAUACUAAUGCAAUGAUCUCUUAAUAGGUUCAAUCUUGUUCAGCGAACAGCACAAGCUUGCACAGCUCUGGCCUUUAAUCUUCGUAGGAAAUCUGAAUUCCUUGUGGCAUUAGCUGAUUAUUCUAUUAAAUGUUUUGAUACAGGUAAGAAGUUCUCCUAUUUUUCUUUUGAAGCAGAGUAAAAUAUAGACUGAAGAACUGCAAGAACUUUAUCACUCUGUACAGCUUGAGGGAGCAGUACCCAUGACAGCCCUCCCUUCAGACACUAGGUGCAAGCUGGGGGUCCUAGAAACAGCCUCACUUUAGAUCAGUUGACUACAAAGUCAGGGUUUCCUGACUACUGUCAGGUUUGAUAAUUUACUAGAACAACUCACAGAACUCAGGAAAGCACUACACUUAAUGAUGACAGUUUUAAUAUAACAAAAGGGUACAAAGUAUAACUAGCCAAAGGAAGAGAAACAUGGGGUGGAAUUUGGGAGGCUUCCAAAAGGGAAGCCUCCAUUGUCCUCAGGGACGCGUUGCCCUCUCAGAUGACCCUCCCAGCAUUGGUGUGUGGCUGGCCAUCUGCGCCAAGCACUGCUGACACAGGGAGUCGACCCAAGCUUUGGUGUUUUUGGUGUUUUCCCUACCAAGCUGUUUUCUCUGCUUACAAAGAUACACACAAGUACAUCAGAAUCAAGUUUAAAAACCAAAUGUAUUAUCAGUAUCUCACAUUGAUAAACCUGUUCCUCAUGUAUUUAUUAUUUUUUUUAUUUUUUAUUUUUUUAGAGAUAGGGUUUUGUCAUGUUGCCCAGGUUGGUCUCAAACUCCUAGGCUGAAGUGAUUCACCUGCCUCAGCCUCCCAAAGUGCUGAGAUUACAGGCGUGAGCCACCACCCGGCCCCUCCUCAUGUAUUUCCUACAUCCACUAACAGUAUCACCAUCUGCUUAAAUAACUAAGCUGGAACCACUGGAGCCUUCACUUCUCUUAUAUCUCAGGACAUCAAUUUGAUCACUAAUAUUUUUUGUUUUUCUCCUUAGUAGCUCUUGGAUUUGUUCUUUUCUCCAUUGCCUCUUUCUUAGUUGAGGCCCUCCAUAUCUCCUGCCUGAAUUAUUACAGCAACAUAUAAAUUAGUCUUUCUUGUUCAAUCUCUUCCCCUCCACCAGAUAUCCUCAAAGUGCUCUUUCUAAAACACAGACUAGAUAUGGUACUCUUUUACAUAAAAUUACCUGCAAGAGAAAGCCCAAACUCACUAGCAUCAAUUUUGAAGUUAUUCUUCAUCAAAGCCUUUGUCAGCCUUGUCUCCUACAUGAAUGAGAUGUUGCUAACAUGUCCCAUCAUACACUUUAUCAACUAGACACAAGCUUCCAUUUUUGUGGAUAUUAAUGGAGGUGCCUCAUAUAAUACCUAACCACCCAUUGGAUCAGUUCAUCUAUGGUGUUUAUAUGUAAUGUUACUUCUAGACAUACAGUGUUUUACCUGGGUAACAAUUUUACUUUUUACCACAGUCACCAAAGAGCUAGUUAGCUGGAUGAGAGGACAUGAAUCAUCAGUAUUUUCGAUCUCUGUGCAUGCAUCAGGGAAAUAUGCCAUCACAACUUCUUCUGAUACAGCACAAUUAUGGGACUUGGAUACCUUUCAGAGAAAAAGAAAGCUGAAUAUUCGCCAGUCUGUGGGUAUACAGAAGGUUUUCUUUCUACCAUUAAGUAAUACCAUCCUCAGCUGUUUUAAAGAUAAUUCCAUUUUUGCCUGGGAAUGUGACACACUUUUUUGCAAAUAUCAAUUGCCAGCUCCACCUGAAAGCUCUAGUAUAUUAUACAAAGUGUUUGCUGUAACCAGAGAUGGCCGAAUCCUGGCUGCUGGAGGCAAGUCAAAUCAUCUUCAUUUGUGGUGCUUGGAAGCUAGGCAGCUCUUUAGAAUUAUCCAGAUGCCCACUAAAGUUCGAGCCAUUCGCCAUCUAGAAUUUCUUCCUGAUAGUUUUGAUGCUGGUUCUAAUCAGGUUAGUAACAUAAAUGUAGGGCACUGUACUUUUUGAGAAAGAACGCAUCCGUCUCUGAACUAUAUUAUAUCUUAUUUAUUUAACUUACACCCUGGCUGUUACAAGAAUUUGAAAUUACAAAUAUGUUAUUUUUGUGAAGAGUCUAGGAUUGAAAAAAAUUUCAAAAUCUUGUAUUCUUUAUACUAUUGACAGUUUGCUCUUUUUAUAAAAUCAACAUACUGUAAAUUUAUAUUGUACUUUAUGGUUUGCAGUGUGCUUUAGCAUGCAAUUUUUCAUUUGAUCCUUAAUUCUUUGGCAUAGGCAGGAAAGAUAUUCUCCCCAUUUUACAGAUUAUAACACUAACGACAAGAAACAUUGACUCGUCAACAUUCCUGUUAAUUGUAAGGAUUAAAGAUUGGACUAGAACU
rnacentral:sRNA from 1 species